rnacentral:lncRNA from 1 species
ACUGUCUCGACUAUUGAUUUUUGGGGGUCUUUUCCGGUUUGAAUGGAGGUGUACGUUUGUUUGCUUGGAUUUUCAGCGUUCCUUUGUUUUUUUAGGAACAGUAACCAUUUACUGAACCAUUUACCGAACCAUAAUUUGAAGUUCUAUAAAAACAACGGUCCGAACUAAAUUAAUGAACAAUGAUUUCAAUAAUUACAAGGACAACAAUUACGACAUAAAGAGGGUUGACGAUAAUGACGAGGACAAAGAACAACCAUUUUAAACGACAUGAAAUACAAAAUCCUAAAUGUCGUAUGCCGGUUGUCGGAUACCAGACAAUCCAUUAGACAAGUCUGACUAACUUCGGCAAAACGUCGAGACUGCACAGAACUUCGGCAAAACGUCGAGACUGCACAGAACUUCGACAAAAAUAUGACACGAAUAGGAGAUGACAAACGAAGAGUAAGAGAUGACAAGAAAAAUAGAGAAAC